AUGCAAAUCUGGCUGGUUCCCAAGCUCGUGCUGUUUUCAGGAGCUCUAGGAGGGCCCUGAAGGCGGGCAGGGGUGGGAGGGUGGCUUUGUCACAUUACGCCUCUUGCCCCACCCUCCCCGCCAUCCACCUGCCUCCCCGCCACCCCUAUGGAUUCAGAACCACCUACUGAUUGACGUGUGACAGCCGGGUGACUCACUGAGACGAGCCGGGAGUGGCCUUGAAGAGAUAAAGGACACCUUCAGUGGGAACAUGGGGAACUAGGAUCAGACUCAUGCUUCUCCUUCUAAGUGAAGUUCGAGGACUCCACGUGUUCUUGUCAGUGAAAGAUGAGCCACGGCAAGAGGGAGGGAGUGCAAACACCUCCCCCAGGGGCAUCCCUCAGUGGCACUGCUGGAUGGCACUCUGAGCUCCAGCCAGCCAGUGGGGUGAAAAUAACUGGGCCCGAUCCCUUAGGAACCAGAAUGAACCCUGGAGUCGCCUGGCGCCCAGAUGGGACGUCCUCCAGGCAAGCCAAGGAAGGGAAGAGAGAGAAGGCAGAAAAGUGGGAAGAGGAGUGGAGUGUUCCCUUCUAAGAGGCUGACGCUGCAGCAUGAGCAGCAGAAAUGCAGCAGACUGGGGCUCCUCGGAGCCUCCAGCAGAAACCAAGGAGAGACUGUGAGGCAAUCUGUGUGCCUGCUCUGUCCUACCUGGCCGGGACUGUGUUCUAGACUCAUGGGGUCCUCCUUGGUCCACCGAUUCGAUUAUCUGUCAUGA
rnacentral:lncRNA from 1 species